rnacentral:rRNA from 1 species
AAUACAUGCAAGUCGAGCGGACAGAAGGGAGCUUGCUCCCGGACGUUAGCGGCGGACGGGUGAGUAACACGUAGGUAACCUGCCCCUUAGACUGGGAUAACUCCGGGAAACCGGAGCUAAUACGGGAUAAUAAAGAGAAUCACCUGAUUCUCUUUUGAAAGACGGUUUCGGCUGUCACUAAGGGAUGGGCCUGCGGCGCAUUAGCUAGUUGGUAAGGUAACGGCUUACCAAGGCGACGAUGCGUAGCCGACCUGAGAGGGUGAUCGGCCACACUGGGACUGAGACACGGCCCAGACUCCUACGGGAGGCAGCAGUAGGGAAUCUUCCGCAAUGGACGAAAGUCUGACGGAGCAACGCCGCGUGAGUGAGGAAGGCCUUCGGGUCGUAAAGCUCUGUUGUGAGGGAAGAACAAGUACCGGGGUAACUACCGGUACCUUGACGGUACCUCACCAGAAAGCCACGGCUAACUACGUGCCAGCAGCCGCGGUAAUACGUAGGUGGCAAGCGUUGUCCGGAAUUAUUGGGCGUAAAGCGCGCGCAGGCGGCUUCUUAAGUCUGAUGUGAAAUCUCGGGGCUCAACCCCGAGCGGCCAUUGGAAACUGGGAAGCUUGAGUGCAGAAGAGGAGAGUGGAAUUCCACGUGUAGCGGUGAAAUGCGUAGAUAUGUGGAGGAACACCAGUGGCGAAGGCGACUCUCUGGUNUGUAACUGACGCUGAGGCGCGAAA